GACGAACCGUGCGAACGUUGUUCGGAAUCACUGGGCUUAAAGGGCGCGUAGGCGGGCUGCCAAGUCUGUGGUGAAAUCCUCCAGCUUAACUGGAGAACGGCCGUGGAUACUGGCGGUCUCGAGGGAGGUAGGGGCAAGCGGAACUGUGCGUGGAGCGGUGAAAUGCGUUGAUAUGCACAGGAACUCCGGUGGCGAAGGCGGCUUGCUGGACCUCUUCUGACGCUGAGGCGCGAAAGCUAGGGGAGCGAACGGG
rnacentral:rRNA from 1 species